GCGAAAGGUGACACAAAAGUGGCAGCCUAUAAAAAUCCUCUGAAAGCACACAACAAGAAGCUGACGCUGCAGGCUCCCCUUUAGUAGCCCAUUAGUCCCACGGUGAGCUUCACACUGUCACAUGGAAACUUUAUGGCUGCCUUGUGUGCACGGUCAGUGUGGAACAGUGGAAAGAACUUGGCUGAAUCAACAAGUUUCUCUACGACUGAAGCAGAAAAAACUGGAGCAGGAUUUUGAUUAAAAAAAGAUGUUGUUCACUGUGACAUGUGAAGACGGAGAACAGUAUUUACACGCAGUAUGUGCUCCUCGGCUUUUUCCAUUUUCGUGGCUCCCCCAACCCCUGGAGAGGCAGUCAGGCCCAGGAUCUGAG